rnacentral:rRNA from 1 species
AAUGGGCGAAAGCCUGACGCAGCAACGCCGCGUGGGGGAUGAAGGCUCUCGGGUUGUAAACCCCUUUCAGCAGGGACGAAAUUGACGGUACCUGCAGAAGAAGCCCCGGCUAACUACGUGCCAGCAGCCGCGGUAACACGUAGGGGGCAAGCGUUGUCCGGAUUUAUUGGGCGUAAAGAGCUCGUAGGUGGCUAAGUAAGUCGGGUGUCAAAUCCCCAGGCUCAACCUGGGUCUCCACUCGAUACUGCUUUGGCUAGAGUCCGGUAGGGGAGCGUGGAAUUCCUGGUGUAGCGGUGAAAUGCGCAGAUAUCAGGAGGAACACCAGCGGCGAAGGCGGCGCUCUGGGCCGGUACUGACACUGAGGAGCGAAAGCGUGGGUAGCAAA